GGGUCAGUAGGUUGGUCGUGCCACCGGUACGUACUGGUCUCACUGAUUCCUCCUUCCUGAAGAACCGUAAUGCCAUUAAUUUGGUGUUGCGGGGAAACAGGACUGUUACUUUGAAAAAAUUAGAGUGUUUAAAGCAAGCUAACGCUUGAAUACAUUAGCAUGGAAUAAUGAAAUAGGACGAUCGAUCCUAUUUUGUUGGUUUCUAGGAUUGACGUAAUGAUUAAUAGGGAUAGAUGCG
rnacentral:rRNA from 1 species